GCAUAGGUGGUUCAGUGGUAGAAUUCUCGUCUGCCUCACAGGAGGCCCAGGUUUGAUUCCCGGCCAAUGCG
rfam:Cricetulus griseus cell line CHO-K1, whole genome shotgun sequence.